UACGGAGGGUGCAAGCGUUAUCCGGAUUCACUGGGUUUAAAGGGUGCGUAGGUGGGUUGGUAAGUCAGUGGUGAAAUCUCCAGGCUUAACUUGGAAACUGCCAUUGAUACUAUCAAUCUUGAAUACCGUGGAGGUCAGCGGAAUAUGUCAUGUAGCGGUGAAAUGCUUAGAUAUGACAUAGAACACCAAUUGCGAAGGCAGCUGGCUACACGAAUAUUGACACUGAUGCACGAAAGCGUGGGGAGCAAACGGG
rnacentral:rRNA from 1 species